GCUCAUGUAGCUCAGUGGUAGAGCACACCUUUGGUAAAGGUGAGGUCUCCGGUUCAAGUCCGGUCAUGAGCA
rnacentral:tRNA from 2 species